rnacentral:rRNA from 1 species
GGUGAGGGACGAAAGCUGGGGGCACGAACCGGAUUAGAUACCCGGGUAGUCCCAGCUGUAAACUAUGCUCGCUAGGUGUCAGGCACGGUGCGACCGUGUUUGGUGCCGCAGGGAAGCCGUGAAGCGAGCCACCUGGGAAGUACGGCCGCAAGGCUGAAACUUAAAGGAAUUGGCGGGGGAGCACAACAACGGGUGGAGCCUGCGGUUUAAUUGGACUCAACGCCGGAAAACUCACCGGGGGCGACAGCAAUAUGUAGGUCAGGCUAAAGACCUUACCUGAAUCGCUGAGAGGAGGUGCAUGGCCGUCGCCAGUUCGUACUGUGAAGCAUCCUGUUAAGUCAGGUAACGAGCGAGACCCUCCGGUUGAUCCUGCCAGAGGUCACUGCUAUCGGUGUUCGUCUAAGCCAUGCGAGUCAUAUGUUCUUCGUGAACAUGGCAUAUUGCUCAGUAACACGUGGAUAACCUGCCCUUGGGACCGGCAUAACCCCGGGAAACUGGGGAUAAUAUCGGAUACUCCGUAUCUGCUGGAAUGCUUUACGUUUUAAACGGUUUUUUCCGCCCAAGGAUGGGUCUGCGGCCUAUCAGGUAGUAGCGGGUGUAAUGUACCUGCUAGCCUACGACGGGUACGGGUUGUGGGAGCAAGAGCCCGGAGAUGGAUUCUGAGACAAUAAUCCAGGCCCUACGGGGCGCAGCAGGCGCGAAAUCUCUACAAUGCGGGUCACCGUGAUAAGGGGACACCGAGUGCUAGCAAGAAUUGCUGGCUGUCCAGGUGCUUAACUUGCACCUGUUAGCAAGGGCCGGGCAAGACCGGUGCCAGCCGCCGCGGUAACACCGGCGGCCCGAGUGGUGAUCGUUAUUAUUGGGUCUAAAGGGUCCGUAGCCUGUUUGGUCAGUCUUCCGGGAAAUCUGCCAGCUUAACUGGUAGUCUAUCGGUGGAUACUGCCAGACUUGGAACCGGGUGAGGUAAGAGGUACUACAGGGGUAGGAGUGAAAUCUUGUAAUCCCUGUAGGACUACCUGUGGCGAAGGCGUCUUACC